rnacentral:tRNA from 1 species
UAGCUCAGUCAGUUGAGCGUAGCGCUAACAACACUAAGGUCGCGGGUUCGAUUCCCGC